rnacentral:rRNA from 1 species
CUCGUGUCGUGAGAUGUUGGGUUAAGUCCCGUAACGAGCGCAACCCUUGUCCUUAGUUACCAGCACGGUUAUGGUGGGCACUCUAAGGAGACUGCCGGGUGACAAACCGGAGGAAGGUGGGGAUGACGUCAAGUCAUCAUGGCCCUUACGGCCUGGGCUACACACGUGCUACAAUGGUCGGUACAAAGGGUUGCCAAGCCGCGAGGUGGAGCUAAUCCCAAAAAGUGCGUCCCAGUCCGGAUUGCAGUCUGCAACUCGACUGCAUGAAGUUGGAAUCGCUAGUAAUUCGAGAUCAGCAUGCUCGGGUGAAUGCGUUCCCGGGCCUU